rnacentral:lncRNA from 1 species
GGUUACGGGUGUCGCGGGAGGCCGAUUGCAAGUGUCGACAAGCAAUCGGAAAGCGAUUCGAGGUGGGUUGUGCUUACCGAAGCGACUAGGUCGCCCUUUAUGUCUAAGAAACAUACAAAUUCAUAUUGAUGCAUGUUAAUAAAAUGACAUAGCUAAUGCAUGUGGACAAUAUGAUGCAAAAUGCUAAGUAGAAUGCAUGAUGAUGUGAUAUAAAUGAUGCUAGUUAAAUGCAUGAGGUAAAUGGCAUUUGCAUGUUAACGUAAAGUAGAGAACAUGCUAGUUGUAAUGCAUAAUGAAUUAAAUGCUAAAAGAGUGCAUGAGAUGCUAAGUAUAUACUACUUUGGAUGAUGAUUAUAUGUAUAUUGACAUAUUAUGUGAUGCUAGUAAUAUAUGUGCAUGAUGACAUAUUGUGAGUUAACAUAUUGUGGAUUAUGUUAAAUAGAAACAUAUACAUGAUGACAUAUAUUGCAUAUGAUAGAAGAAUUAUGCAUGUUGCCAUAUUAUGGAACAUAGUAGAUGAAUUAUGCAUGUUGAACUUGGUCGAUUAGAGAAAUUGACUUUGGAAAACAAGAACAUAUCGAGUGGCAUUAAUGUAGUGUAUUUGACACUAGAGGUUUGGGAACCUAGGGAUAGGUGAAUCCCUUAGAAAAUGCCUUGUGGAUAAAGAACUUAGUAAACCUAAGUACCCUCACAUGGAGAGGUUGUCGAUGAGUUAUUGAGAUAUUGACUCUAGUUGUAGAGCAUCCUCACUUGGAGAGGAUUUGAUUGGGUUGUUGACUCCAGUUGUAGAGCAUCCUCACUUGGAGAGGAUUCGAUUGGGUUGUUGACUCUAGUUGUAGAGCCUCCUCACUUGGAGAGGAUUGGAUUGGGUGUUGACCCUAGUUACAGUGUAUCCUCACUUGGAGAGGAUAGAUCUAGCUCACAGUCUGCGUUUAGGGUGGUAUAGCCAUCCAAUCCCCACAUGGAGGGGAUUGUCGUCGAGUACUCCGGAGUGUCGUGCGACUAGGACCACUUGGAGGUCCGGACCACAUGGAGGUCCGCAGACGGUCCCGGGCUUGGGUGCACUUGGAGCUCCCUCCCCACUUUGGGAUUGAAAGGUGAGUUAUUGGCGAACCCUAGGGCUUCGCUACAGAUUGGGUAAAAGAACAGUGAACAAUGUCAUUGAACAUUAUUAUUCGAACAUGGAUCGAAUUCGUUAGCAUGAUAGUAAACCUUUACUAUUUGAUGCAUGGUAUGAGUUUUAGUUGCAUCCCAGUUGAGUGGAUUUAGGGCUGAGGUGCAUGUGAGACAUCCUUCACCUUGAGCCUGGCUUUGUGCGGUAUUCCGCGUGUGAUUGACUCAAGACCGAGUCGAGUGGAUAGCUUAUAAAAGCAGGUUAAACCCUAUGAGCAGAAUUGUAAUUGACAAGAAUCUAAGAUAGAGGAAAACUUAGAAGUCAAUUGGUUGAACCGUGAAUGACAGGAAUAAAAGUAGUAUCGAUUGAACUACUAGUUGGUUGCAUGGUUGCAUAAACUGCAUGAAUUUCAUAUUGCAUUUUGUGAGGCACAACAUGUAUUUCAAUACUUGAAUAUAUAUAUCUGUUGGAUAUUUGUUGGACUAACAUGUUGCAGGGCCUCCUUAGACCUAUUGGUCGAGCUUUUCCCUUGGGUGGCCGUACCCACUGGGAACCAUGGAGUUGGUUCUCACCCCACGUUGUUUUGGGGUGUUACAGGUUCGCACGUGAGCGGCGCGGCGGCGCAAGGCGAGGGCGUAGCUCCAUAGAUACCGCCCUACCCCAGAGACCAGAGAUAGAGGUACCCCGAGUCGGCAUAGCCUUGGGGUAGAGGGAAAAGAAAAAGAGCAAACUUGUAAUAAUAUUGUGAUCAUUAAUUGUAUUUGGAAGAAAAUGUAAUGUAAU